rnacentral:rRNA from 1 species
GAUGAACGCUGGCGGCGUGCCUAAUACAUGCAAGUCGAGCGAACAGACGAGGAGCUUGCUCCUCUGACGUUAGCGGCGGACGGGUGAGUAACACGUGGAUAACCUACCUAUAAGACUGGGAUAACUUCGGGAAACCGGAGCUAAUACCGGAUAAUAUAUUGAACCGCAUGGUUCAAUAGUGAAAGACGGUUUUGCUGUCACUUAUAGAUGGAUCCGCGCCGCAUUAGCUAGUUGGUGAGGUAACGGCUUACCAAGGCAACGAUGGGUAGCCGACCUGCGAGGGGGAUCGGCCACACUGGAACUGAGACACGGUCCAGACUCCUACGGGAGGCAGCAGUAGGGAAUCUUCCGCAAUGGGCGAAAGCCUGACGGAGCAACGCCGCGUGAGUGAUGAAGGUCUUCGGAUCGUAAAACGCUGUUAUUAGGGAAGAACAAAUGUGUAAGUAACUAUGCACGUCUUGACGGUACCUAAUCAGAAAGCCACGGCUAACUACGUG